rnacentral:lncRNA from 1 species
AUGGUAAACUAUUGACAAGGAUGGAUCAUAAUUAUGUGAUGUUCGCUUUACUGGAUCUCGGCAGCAUGGUCCACCUCUAUUCGAGCUUAAUGAAGAUAUCUAUAACUUAUUGUGAAGAGUAAACCGUUGAAUUUUCAUGGAUUGCGUCGAUAUGCACGGAUUUGCAUAUUGUCAGAGUGAUUUUCAGUCUAUUUGAGGCCGUUCUUCGAGAUGGACGUGAAGUCUUUCUUUGGCAUCAACGAAUGGUGUCUUAUUAUAUAAGGUUGUUGGAACAAGCGUGGACUCUGGUCGAUUCACUUUUCUCGAAGGUACCUGUAUAUUUCUCCAGAUUCGCAACUUUUCCUACUCCAUGGAUACUCCAACAUACGUCUCUUUAUAACUAACUGCUAAUAAAUCAUAAAUUGAAUCCUAAGUCUUUGUAUUAUUAUUUGAGAUAUUCCAUUAAUCUAAUUAUUUUUUGGUAAAUUAAUGUAUUACUAUCGACUGAAGUAUUUAACUACAUAAUUGUGAGAUUAAUAAAAGAAAUUAUAUCUUA